CCCUGCCAUUUGUACACACCGCCCGUCGCUCCUACCGAUUUCGAGUGAUCCUGUGAACCUUUUGGACCGCUGAUUCCUAUGUUUUGGCGGAAAAUCAAGUAAACAGUAUUACUUAGAGGAAGGAGAAG
rnacentral:rRNA from 1 species